CAAUUUCAAAAAAGUCAUAUAUUCAUCAAAUGUAUAACUCAAAUAUUCAAAUAAAUUCAUAUUUCUGUAUCUAACAACAUCAAAUUCAUAAAAUAAAGAAUGAAAAUGAGUUUAUUUAAAUAUUUGAGUUAUAAAUUUGAUGAAAUGUGCAUUAUAUUGAAUGUGAUAAUUAAUUUUAUAGAUUUUGUUUGAAAAUUUUGAUGAAAUUUUUAUAAAAAAAAUGAUAAUAUUAUUGAUAUUUUAAAACAAUAAAAGAUCAAAUUGUUAUUUAAAAUUAAAUAAAACCUAAAUAAAAAAAAAUUAAUUAACUAAAAUGCUACCUAAAGUUAAGUUAAAAGAGUCUGCAGUACCAAUUAUACCUAUUAUACCAGUAAAUUAAUAAUAAUAGAGAAUACAAUGAGAGUCCUACCUUUUCAUAAUACUUGACAUGAUCAUUGAAGCAACGAAUGGUGGUAUACAAUGAUUUCUGAAAAUCAUCUGAUCCUUCAUCCAAUAGUUUCUGUUAAGAUGUAAGGGACACAAAUUUAAAUGAUAGAUUAUAGUAUCAAUUUCUUUUAUUGUUUUGCAAAGAAAAGGAAGAAAAAAAAAUAGUGUGUUAGCUCUUUUUUGUAUACCUUAGUGAUGGAACCACCAUGAGUCUCUCUAUAGCGAUUGAAAGUUGCAAUCAAUUGAGUCUUGCUCCUUGUAGUCAAGAUCCUGAUUGCUUCUUCAUGGCUACCUUUUUUCUCUUUCACAGACUCGUGAAGAAUUUCAGCUUCACUCUGAGCCAAUUUUGCAUUUAUCUCAUCACCAGUAUAUCUGUAUGAGGUCACUAGCCCCACCAAAAGCUGCUCAAUAUCAAAAACAAACUUAUCAAAAUCAGGGUUCUUAAAAAGGUCUUUAACAAAGAUAUGGGCCAAACAACAUCAAAGUUUUUGAAAUCUUCACUAAUGCAAUGUUCCUUCCAUUAAGGUAUACAAAAAUAAAAAUUUGCAUCAAAUCUUACAUCUUUUAAUCAGAAAUGAUCAGUAAAUUUCGAUAAAAAUUUGAGUUAAUUUGAAAAAGGACUUGCCUGGCGAAGAUGGCCUGAAGUAUGAAUAGCCAAAUCUUCUUCAAUGGAGUGCUUGUAGCGGUUGAUAUAGGCACGCCUCACAUUAAAGAGCUCUUCAGGGGAAAGAACAGAGGAAAUUUCCACAAUCACAUUGUAGUUUUUUCCACUCUUUAUAGCAACAUGGACCAAAACAGCGUCACGAUCAGCAGGCUCCAAUAUCCAACGGUACACAGCUUUCUGUUCAUUAAAAUAAAAUUUCAAAAUUUUACAUAUAUUAAUUUAAGAAAAUGAAUUAAUUGAAUGUUAUUUAUAAAAUUGACAAAAUUGACUUUGAUACUAAAUUACUAAUAUGCACCUCAAAAUCUCCUUUGAUCUCAGACUCCAAGCGUUUGACAAGAUCCUCAUGAUAAAUGUCCUCAUAAGAUUUUCUAAUUAAUUGUAUCUGAUGUGAGGUUCUGUGACCCAGUAUUGAUAUCACAGUGUUUUCAUCAGUUCCCCAUCCUACAAUAUUGAACAUAUAUAAUACAAUCAACUAAAUUUUGAGCACCCCAUUAUUUAAUUAAAGAUUACAUAAGAGUAUCAGAUUCAUAGAAAAAAAAAAGUAACAAAGUAUGCAAAUUAAAUAGCCAAAUCAGUAUGCAAAUUUGUCAACAACAAAAAUGAUGAUAGGGGAAGAUCACACCUUCAAAAGCCUUUCUGAGAGCUUCAGCAUCUUCUUGGGGAGUGUUAAUGCUAGGAGCAAUAACGGUAGACAUAGUUGAAUAUGUAUAUUGUCUAUAGUACUAAUUCUGAUGAUGUGAUGAAGAAACCUAUGUCCACAACUCUUCUAUUUAUAAUAGUUUGUGGUCUCAAUUAUAGAUAAAAAAAAACACAUAAUUAAAAAAAGUUGAUGUAUUUAAUUUUAAAUUUUGAAUUAAAUAUAUCAGAUUUUUUUUACUAAAUUUUGCUUAUAUUUGAGAUUAAGGUAGUAUAAUGUAGACAAUAAUAAAUAUUUGUCUCGUUGGAGACAAAUGAUAAAAUUAAAUCGAUACAGACACGAUAAAAAUGUAAAUAUUUAUUCUCUAAAUAGUCUUUGCACAACAACAAGACAUUUUUAUUGUUCGAUUAAUUUCACGUGUGAUUCCUCAUUAUCGUUUUUUAAUUUAAUAUAUAACGGUGAUUUUUAUAAGCUAGAUAUCAAAACAUUUAUUCAAUUGUCGAAACAAAUUAUCGAGAUUGAAUCUCAAUUCACCUAAAUUUUUCAAUAAAAUAAAAAGUAUAUAUGUUGUAAUUUUUCAAUUAAAAAAGUUGCAAAGUGAAAAAUAAUACAUUUUUUUAUUUUUGAAAAUCAAGAGACACAACGCCAAAUUUUUUAUUUAAAACACAAGAUUAGAGAAAAUUAUAUGCUCUAAUUCAUGCAUUGGAAAUAUCAUCUAUGGCUAAUAAAUAUUUUAUAUUUGGACAAUAAUUUAUUAUGUUUGUUUUUAUUUUCCUUUUGAGGUUGAACAGAUUCAGUUUUCAAGGCAAUUUGGCAGUAUAUGAAAAUCUGUAAACAACAGCAAUUAUUUUAUUUACAUUGGUGAUAUCACUGCCACGUAUUACCAUCAAAGUGAUCAGAGAGGAAAUCAAUGUCACGUGAUGGACGGUGAACCUUAGCCACUUUAUUAACAUUUAAAUGGAAAACUAUUCUAAAUUAAAACAUGGAAAUAAAGUGUACGAUACCUUGGAAAUUUCUGAAUUCCUCCUUAAAGGUUUAUGUUCACAUACUUUUUUUUUUUUAAUAUAUGUUCGUUUACAUUAUGAAAUGGUUUUCAGUGAAUAUUAUAAAUGGUAU
rnacentral:lncRNA from 1 species